GGGUAAGUCCCGUACGACCAGCUCCUGCUGAAUCCCCCAGGACAGGAAUGUAGCAAGGGUAGGCGGUUGUAGCGGUGCGAUACGGGUAGCUUACCCUUU
rnacentral:SRP_RNA from 1 species